rnacentral:rRNA from 1 species
UACGGAGGGAGCUAGCGUUAUUCGGAAUUACUGGGCGUAAAGCGCACGUAGGCGGCUUUGUAAGUUAGAGGUGAAAGCCUGGAGCUCAACUCCAGAAUUGCCUUUAAGACUGCAUCGCUUGAAUCCAGGAGAGGUGAGUGGAAUUCCGAGUGUAGAGGUGAAAUUCGUAGAUAUUCGGAAGAACACCAGUGGCGGAAGGCGGCUCACUGGACUGGUAUUGACGCUGAGGUGCGAAAGCGUGGGGAGCAAACAGG